GGGGCGUGGCCUCGCCCUGGGGCCGUUCCCUGACGCUUUCCCCCCCCCCCAGGUCCCCCGGGAACCCCCCCGGGAGCCCCCCGGGCGCGCGGCCGAGCGGGCGGCGCUGGAGCUGCAGCGGCGCAGCCAAGGUUACCGAUUGGUGGAGAGCGACGAGGAGGCGGGGCCUGAGCCCGGCCCCGCCCCCGACACAGCUGCCCGCCGCCGCCGCCGCCACCACCUCCGGCGCCGCCGCUCCGAGUCCCCCGAGGCCUCCAGCCCCUCGCCCCCGCCGCCGGCCCCGGCUCCGGACCCCCCCGAGGAACCGGAGGCGGAAUGGGAAGCGUCGGAGCGCGAGCGCCUGCGGGACCUGGAGGAACGCGAUGCCUUCGCCGAGCGCCUCCGCCGCCGCGACCGCGACCGCACGCGCCACGUCCUCGCCCGCCCCGACGCCAAGG